rnacentral:misc_RNA from 1 species
UUCAAUCCCAAACCCUAAAUUUAACAAUCAUGCCAAAAAAAAAUUUCCCCCCAGUGACCAAAAGGUCCAAAAUCCAUUAGCCUAUUUCUCUCUCUUGUCUCUCUCUCUCUUUCUCUCUCUCUCUCUNNNNNNNACUAUUUCAAGGAUGAAGUCUCUUGUAUCUCCACCAUUUUCACCCAUUUUCAAGGCCACACCUUCUUCCCUCUUCUUCCCUUUACCCUCUAAUUUCAAAUUUCUCUCCUUUCCCACUUCUCUCACAAGUUCAAUUUCUCUCUCCCUUAAUCCUCCUCCUAUGCUGUCAACUUUUCCAAUUCAAAAUCGAUGUCUUCACUCCAAUUCCUCUCCCUCUUUUUCUUCCUCCUCCGGAGAGAUUCACGUUAUAGUUGGCCCCAUGUU